rnacentral:rRNA from 1 species
GAUGAACGCUGGCGGCGUGCCUAAUACAUGCAAGUCGAGCGAACGGACGAGAAGCUUGCUUCUCUGAUGUUAGCGGCGGACGGGUGAGUAACACGUGGAUAACCUACCUAUAAGACUGGGAUAACUCCGGGAAACCGUAGCUAAUACCGGAUAAUAUUUUGAACCGCAUGGUUCAAAAGUGAAAGACGGUCUUGCUGUCACUUAUAGAUGGAUCCGCGCUGCAUUAGCUAGUUGGUAAGGUAACGGCUUACCAAGGCAACGAUGCAUAGCCGACCUGAGAGGGUGAUCGGCCACACUGGAACUGAGACACGGUCCAGGCUCCUACGGGAGGCAGCAGUAGGGAAUCUUCCGCAAUGGGCGAAAGCCUGACGGAGCAACGCCGCGUGAGUGAUGAAGGUCUUCGGAUCGUAAAACUCUGUUAUUAGGGAAGAACAUAUGUGUAAGUAACUGUGCACAUCUUGACGGUACCUAAUCAGAAAGCCACGGCUAACUACGUG